rnacentral:rRNA from 1 species
ACUAAGCGUACACGGUGGAUGCCCUGGCAGUCAGAGGCGAUGAAGGACGUGCUAAUCUGCGAAAAGCGACGGCGAGGUGAUAUGAACCUUUGACCCGUCGAUGUCCGAAUGGGGAAACCCAGUGCAAUCCGUUGCACUAUCGUUAACUGAAUACAUAGGUUAACGAGGCGAACCGGGGGAACUGAAACAUCUAAGUACCCCGAGGAAAAGAAAUCAACCGAGAUUCCCCCAGUAGCGGCGAGCGAACGGGGAGCAGCCCGGAGUCUGAAUCAGCUUGUGUGUUAGUGGAACGGUCUGGAAAGUCCGACGGUACAGGGUGAUAGUCCCGUACACGAAAACACACUUGUUGUGAACUCGAAGAGUAGGGCGGGACACGUGGUAUCCUGUCUGAAUAUGGGGGGACCAUCCUCCAAGGCUAAAUACUCCUGACUGACCGAUAGUGAACCAGUACCGUGAGGGAAAGGCGAAAAGAACCCCGGCGAGGGGAGUGAAAAAGAACCUGAAACCGUGUACGUACAAGCAGUGGGAGCCUCUUUAUGGGGUGACUGCGUACCUUUUGUAUAAUGGGUCAGCGACUUAUAUUCUGUAGCAAGGUUAACCGUAUAGGGGAGCCGAAGGGAAACCGAGUCUUAACUGGGCGUUAAGUUGCAGGGUAUAGACCCGAAACCCGGUGAUCUAGCCAUGGGCAGGUUGAAGGUUGGGUAACACUAACUGGAGGACCGAACCGACUAAUGUUGAAAAAUUAGCGGAUGACCUGUGGCUGGGGGUGAAAGGCCAAUCAAACCGGGAGAUAGCUGGUUCUCCCCGAAAGCUAUUUAGGUAGCGCCUCGUGAAUUCAUCUUCGGGGGUAGAGCACUGUUUCGGCUAGGGGGCCAUCCCGGCUUACCAACCCGAUGCAAACUACGAAUACCGAAGAAUGUUAUCACGGGAGACACACGGCGGGUGCUAACGUCCGUCGUGAAGAGGGAAACAACCCAGACCGCCAGCUAAGGUCCCAAAGUCAUGGUUAAGUGGGAAACGAUGUGGGAAGGCACAGACAGCCAGGAUGUUGGCUUAGAAGCAGCCAUCAUUUAAAGAAAGCGUAAUAGCUCACUGGUCGAGUCGGCCUGCGCGGAAGAUGUAACGGGGCUAAACCAUGCACCGAAGCUGCGGCAGCGACACUAUGUGUUGUUGGGUAGGGGAGCGUUCUGUAAGCCGUUGAAGGUGGCCUGUGAGGGUUGCUGGAGGUAUCAGAAGUGCGAAUGCUGACAUAAGUAACGAUAAAGCGGGUGAAAAGCCCGCUCGCCGGAAGACCAAGGGUUCCUGUCCAACGUUAAUCGGGGCAGGGUGAGUCGACCCCUAAGGCGAGGCCGAAAGGCGUAGUCGAUGGGAAACAGGUUAAUAUUCCUGUACUUGGUGUUACUGCGAAGGGGGGACGGAGAAGGCUAUGUCAGCCGGGCGACGGUUGUCCCGGUUUAAGCAUGUAGGCGGAGGUUCCAGGUAAAUCCGGUACCUUUUAACGCUGAGGUGUGAUGACGAGGCACUACGGUGCUGAAGUGAUAAAUGCCCUGCUUCCAGGAAAAGCCUCUAAGCAUCAGGUAACACGAAAUCGUACCCCAAACCGACACAGGUGGUCAGGUAGAGAAUACCAAGGCGCUUGAGAGAACUCGGGUGAAGGAACUAGGCAAAAUGGUGCCGUAACUUCGGGAGAAGGCACGCUGAUAUGUAGGUGAAGUCCCUGCGGACGGAGCUGAAAUCAGUCGAAGAUACCAGCUGGCUGCAACUGUUUAUUAAAAACACAGCACUGUGCAAACACGAAAGUGGACGUAUACGGUGUGACGCCUGCCCGGUGCCGGAAGGUUAAUUGAUGGGGUUAGCGGCAACGCGAAGCUCUUGAUCGAAGCCCCGGUAAACGGCGGCCGUAACUAUAACGGUCCUAAGGUAGCGAAAUUCCUUGUCGGGUAAGUUCCGACCUGCACGAAUGGCGUAAUGAUGGCCAGGCUGUCUCCACCCGAGACUCAGUGAAAUUGAACUCGCUGUGAAGAUGCAGUGUACCCGCGGCAAGACGGAAAGACCCCGUGAACCUUUACUAUAGCUUGACACUGAACACUGGUCCUUGAUGUGUAGGAUAGGUGGGAGGCUUUGAAGCGUGGACGCCAGUCUGCGUGGAGCCAACCUUGAAAUACCACCCUUUAAUGGCUGGUGUUCUAACGUAGACCCGUAAUCCGGGUUGCGGACAGUGUCUGGUGGGUAGUUUGACUGGGGCGGUCUCCUCCCAAAGAGUAACGGAGGAGCACGAAGGUUGGCUAAUCCUGGUCGGACAUCAGGAGGUUAGUGCAAUGGCAUAAGCCAGCUUGACUGCGAGCGUGACGGCGCGAGCAGGUGCGAAAGCAGGUCAUAGUGAUCCGGUGGUUCUGAAUGGAAGGGCCAUCGCUCAACGGAUAAAAGGUACUCCGGGGAUAACAGGCUGAUACCGCCCAAGAGUUCAUAUCGACGGCGGUGUUUGGCACCUCGAUGUCGGCUCAUCACAUCCUGGGGCUGAAGUAGGUCCCAAGGGUAUGGCUGUUCGCCAUUUAAAGUGGUACGCGAGCUGGGUUUAGAACGUCGUGAGACAGUUCGGUCCCUAUCUGCCGUGGGCGCUGGAGAAUUGAGGGGGGCUGCUCCUAGUACGAGAGGACCGGAGUGGACGCAUCACUGGUGUUCGGGUUGUCAUGCCAAUGGCACUGCCCGGUAGCUAAAUGCGGAAGAGAUAAGUGCUGAAAGCAUCUAAGCACGAAACUUGCCCCGAGAUGAGUUCUCCCUGAGACUUUAAGUCUCCUGAAGGAACGUUGAAGACGACGACGUUGAUAGGUCGGGUGUGUAAGCGCAGCGAUGCGUUGAGCUAACCGAUACUAAUGAACCGUGAGGCUUAACC